rnacentral:lncRNA from 1 species
CAGUUGCCCAUCCUUCCCUCAGCCAUACUCUUGUACAUGAACCUACCCUCAACCAUACACCAGAUUUCCCAAACAUUGAAAAGUGAAUCUCACCUACAGGUAUAGGGUCGAAAUCUUUUGAACAAUCACAAGGACACUGGGGGCAGGAACCUUUCUCCUUCAAGCUCCAGUGCAAAGAUGGACGUAUACCCAACCAAACACACCGCCAUUAAACAAAAACCAACCUCACAGCAAAAGAAGACAAAACACAACUUCGGUUUGUUUGUUUCCAAAUUUGCAAAAUGUCCAAGAUCGUAUCAAAAACCCAUUUCAGGUCCGGGGUUACAAAACUCAGAAUAUCAAUUAAACUCAAAACUUGACUGCACUUGAAAAUAAAUUAAUAAUAUCCAAUCAAAAAUGCCCAUUUCAAGAUCUGGGACCUACAAUGAGAAUCUGACAAACUCAAUGACUGGUGUAUGGCUGAGGGAAGGAUAGGCGACGGGAGAGGGGUGGCUCAAAGGUGGGGUUGAGUAGGGAGGGAGGGUUGGCUGGGUAGGAGGUAGGAGAAGAGAGCAGAGAUUUGUUUUAAAAUUUUAAUGAUUUUAAUAUGAUUUAAAUGAGUCUGUAAAGUGAAAGGUCAAAAAAUAAUAAAAUACUAAAAACUCAUUUAACGAUGUGGUAUCGACAACUCAAC